AAUAGAUACCCUGGUAGUCCACGCCGUAAACGAUGAGUGCUAAGUGUUAGAGGGUUUCCGCCCUUUAGUGGCUGCAGCUAACGCAUUAAGCACUCCGCCUGGGGAGUACGGUCGCAAGACUGAAACUCAAAGGAAUUGACGGGGGCCCGCACAAGCGGUGGAGCAUGUGGUUUAAUUCGAAGCAACGCGAAGAACCUUACCAGGUCUUGACAUCCCACUGACCGGUAUAGAGAUAUACCUUUCCCUUCGGGGACAGUGGUGACAGGUGGUGCAUGGUUGUCGUCAGCUCGUGUCGUGAGAUGUUGGGUUAAGUCCCGCAACGAGCGCAACCCUUGAUCUUAGUUGCCAGCAUUUAGUUGGGCACUCUAAGGUGACUGCCGGUGACAAACCGGAGGAAGGUGGGGAUGACGUCAAAUCAUCAUGCCCCUUAUGACCUGGGCUACACACGUGCUACAAUGGAUGGUACAAAGGGCUGCAAGACUGCGAAGUCAAGCCAAUCCCAUAAAACCAUUCUCAGUUCGGAUUGCAGG
rnacentral:rRNA from 1 species